rnacentral:misc_RNA from 1 species
AAGUCGUAACAAGGUUUCCGUAGGUGAACCUGCGGAAGGAUCAUUAGCGAGUGGUUUUCCCGCGAGGGAGCUGCCCGACCUGUUGUCAUUUGCGCCGGGGGUGGGGGAUGUGUCGGCGAGAGGGUACCCGGAGGGGACGUUUGUCUCGGAAGGGGGGCCUGGGGCCGGCGCACCGCCGCACCGGGAUUUAAACUUCGGCGGAAGAGGCAGGCGUCGACCUGCCCGCCGCCGGCGGCAAGUCUUUACAUCUUGAGGAGAAGCUGAAGUCUGAAGAAGUGAAAAACGAAGAAGCAAAACUUUCAACAACGGAUCUCUUGGCUCUG